rnacentral:tRNA from 1 species
GGAGAGGUGGCCGAGUUAGGUUGAAGGCAGUGGAUUGCUAAUCCAUAAAUGCUUAUGGCAUUCGAGAGUUCGAAUCUCUCCUUCUCCG